CAAAAACAUCGCUUCCCCAGAGCUCAAUACCUGGGUGCAACAAGCUAAGAAAGAGCUCUUUACAUGACAGAGCUUUCUUGGCUCCAUCAGCUGAUUGCCAGCUGGGGGAAAUCUGACAAAGGCUUUAAAUUUACCACAAUUUGCCUUUCUCCAGCUGCAGCUGCUUGCAGAAUCAGAGGGAAACGCGUGGAGGCCGGAAGGAAAGGCGCUGAGAAAAGUGCUCACAGGGCUCACAGCUGCCAGUGAAGCAGUUUGUGUUCCUGGUCAGGAAGUCCCUAGGAUUCCUGUUGUGUGGAUUCAGAGGGAGGUCAGCUGGGAAGUGGGGAGAGGUGUCAUCGUGGCUCUGAAUCCUCUCCAGCAGCUUGCUCUAAUGUUCUGACAAGAUAAGCGGAAUGAGAGCUGCUAUCCCAGGCCCCAGUGCCCUUGGCAGAUGACUUAAAAUUCAGUCCAACAGACAUCUAAGCCAAGAGCCUCUCCUGGGGCUGAAAAACUGAGUCCCAAGUCUGCGUUUUGCCCCUUCGGAUGCCCCCAGAAAGCGAAGAGUUCAUGGUGCUGAGGAAGCAGAGGAUGCUGCACAGGGAGGCAGCAGCAGAGCAAAUACCAGCUCCUUUCUGUGCCCAGUGCCUGCCUCACCCCUGCAGCACAGGCACCAGCACGAGUCACAGCUUCCAGAGAAGGUGCUAGAAGCUUUGGUUUUGUCUUGUGAAACCAAGCACUUCCCACAGAUCUGCGCAGGCAGCUGUCCUGGCAGGGUGAUGUCCCAGCUGGGCCCUGUGGCAGCUCCCAGUGCAGCUACCACCUCCAUCACCAGCAGCAGCAGCAAGUGCUGAGCUCACUACCCUGCUGCUAACAGUGGUGCUUGGCCGAGUGCUGCUGGAGCUGAGGCUUUCUGCAGAGCUGCCCUGCAGGAGGACAAAAAGCAGCAGAAAUAUUUUUGGAGAGAUGGGUGAACUCUCGAGGAGGCAGAGGGUUCUGACUGCUCUGGUUUCAGGGAUAGCAACGAUGCAGAUGCUCAGUGCUCCCCAAAAUUCAGUUUGACUCCUUUUGGUGAGAGCAGGAAAGGCUUUGGGAAUGAUCCAAACACAGCAAAUGAUGCCCACAUAGGGGCUGGUUGUACAGGUGUGCCUUGUUUGCCUUCUGCCUGUUGUGCCAUUCCUGGGAGCCAUCAUCACCUCUGCUUAGCAAGGGGGAAGGGAGAGGGAACGUGUCUAAAGUCAGCUGGUGGAGGUGGGUGGUUGGCUCCCAGUGGCAUUGCUUUUCCCAGGCACGCUGACUGUGUGCUGCUGGGUUACGGCAAAGAAAAACACGGCACAGAAAACGAGCUGAUGGUCUGACAGCUUGGUUAGCUGCAGGGGCUCUUCGUUAGCGUGACAUUUUGGUGAUUAUCAAAUCUCUUAUUAGCAGACCUGCUCACGCAUUUGUCAGCCAUUUGGUUGUACAACAGGCAGAGUUUGCACCUACCCCUAAGCCGUUACGAUCCUUGCCCUGCUCUCGGUCAUUUGUCCCCGAGCCCUUCUCCUGCUGUUCACGGAGCGACAGAAGUGCUCGGCGAGGAGCCUGGCACUGCGCUUCCCACGGGGAUUUUCACACAAAUCUCCCCCGUGAGAAACUGAGUGCUUGUCCGCAAGUGCGGUUAUCUUCGUCAGUCUGUAGAGGUCUCCAAACACACAGGAUGCAUUUUCAGGACCCGAGCACAUUCCUUGCAUCUAUGCUUCGUAUGCUGAUUUUCCCCUUCUCACGGGCUGCUCUGUAGAUGAUGCUUUGGUUUCUGAUACCUGCUUGGAUUUUACUGUGAGUUCUUGUAGGAAUGUGGUGUCCAUCCCGUGGUUAACUUGGUUGUGCCCCAACAAGAGGCGUACUCUCCCCACAGUGCUGCUCUGUCCCAUUGCUGCUCGCGGAUAGGGAAGGCUGGGAGCCACCCCUGGUAACUCCCUCGGGAUUAAUAGCACAGGGACAUCCAGGACUGAAGCCUUAAGGAACAAGCAAAGAUUAAUCUAGGAAUUAUCUAUUUUUUUAAUGUGGGGGGAUGCAGGAGGCCAGGCUUGGCCAUAUUUGCUCCACCAACUUGGUAAGUCUCAUGGCUCCUUUUUCAUUUCUUAUUCUGUCCCACAAACCAGCAGCCGGGUCAGGACUGGGGCUGUGUCCUCCCCCUGCUGGCUGCCGUGGGGUUGGGGAUAACUGCGCUUUGAACAUCCCCAUCCCGCUGCCUGUGUAACAGCCUCUGCUACCGCUGAGUUUCUGCUCCCUCCACGCUGCAA